GAGAAUUUUAACAUUUAUUUAUUUUUUCUUAGUUCUUGGUGGACACAACAUCUUCGUUUGUAUGUGGUGCUGAGGAUCGAACCCGGGCUGCACGCCACGCUAGGCGAGCAUGCUACCGCUUGAGCCACAUCCCCAGCCCCUGCAAACAUUUUAAAUAAGCCAUUUUUGAAGACCCGGAGAGGGAUGUCUUUAUAUUUUACAUAUAUGGAAUGCUUCAGCCAUCAAGAGACUUUGACUGUGAGUGAAGUGCAUGAAAAUACGAAGAAACCACCCUGUGGAGACAGAGCUUCCCUAGGCAGACUGAUAGAAGUAUAUGGAACUUGGACGUGCAACAUGGGCUGGAGAUAAAUACUUGAGCAUCACUCACCGUCCAAGUCCAAGGUAUAAGAAGAUGUUGGCCCUGGAGGCAACAAGUGGGGAGUGGAGGCACUGGCUGGACAUGGCCUCUUAUAAAGAGCACUGCAGCAGACAGAGUGGAGAGGGCUGCAGGACGCCCGUCACCAGGGAGACGUCACAUCUGCCUCCUAGGUAGGAUGCCUUCCCAAGGAAACCUGCUGCGAGGGUGA
rnacentral:lncRNA from 1 species